rnacentral:rRNA from 1 species
GAUGAACGCUGGCGGCGUGCCUAAUACAUGCAAGUCGAGCGAACGGACGAGAAGCUUGCGUCUCUGAUGUUAGCGGCGGACGGGUGAGUAACACGUGGAUAACCUACCUAUAAGACUGGGAUAAUUUCGGGAAACCGGAGCUAAUACCGGAUAAUAUUUUGAACCGCAUGGUUCAAAAGUGAAAUACGGCGUUGCUGUCACUUAUAGAUGGAUCCGGGCUGCAUUAGCUAGUUGGUAAGGUAACGGCUUACCAAGGGAACGAUGCAUAGCCGACUUGAGAGGCUGAUCGGCCACCCUGGAACUGGACCGCGGUCAAGAGUCCUACGGGACGCCGCAGUCGGGAACCUUCCGCAGUGGGCGAAAGCCUGGCGCAGCGACGCCGAGUGAGUGAUGACGGUCUUCGGAUCGUAAAACUCUGUUAUUAGGGAAGAACAUAUGUGUAAGUAACUGUGCACAUCUUGACGGUACCUAGUCAGAAAGCCACGGCUAACUACGUG